rnacentral:lncRNA from 1 species
AUCAGAGUUCAUCCCUUUUGUCAACAUCAACAUGGCAGUGUGAAAAGAUGCCAUGUGAUGUACCUCAGUAACCUGCAACUAGAGAGAACGCUAAUUGAAGAUCUGUUCAUUUUCUUGCUGUUUCCCACGUUCUUCAAUUUCUUAUUCAAUUCUCUUUCAUUGUAGUGAGUGAUGUAUUACCAUUUAUUCGUUCCUUGUUGCAGGUAGAAGUGUCCAACAUGUACGUUGCAUAAGGAUCGAAAAAUUCACAAGAUAUGCCAAAC